rnacentral:sRNA from 1 species
GGGGCGCGGGGGUCGGUGGCUGCUGGGCGGGCGGGGCGCAGGCCGCGGGACCCGAGCCCGGGGGAGCGAGAGAGCGGAAGCGCCGAGGAUCCGAUUCACUCGCUGGGGAGACCUAUGGGCCGAAGCCGUGUAAAUGCGUUUUAAGGGGCCUCGGCUCCGCAACUGCCACUCCUCCUCGGGGUGUUGCACAAGUUUCGAGGUCACCGGCGACCCCCCCUAGCAGCGCGCCUGGCUCUGGCCCCCGCGAAGGAGGACGGAGCUUGUGUGUUGCAUACUUUCUAAGGCGGCGGCUGCAGCAGCGGCUCCAUCCAGCCCGUCAGCUCCUCCUGCAAGGCAUGGCUGGCUACCUGAGUGAAUCGGACUUUGUGAUGGUGGAGGAGGGCUUCAGUACCCGAGACCUGCUGAAGGAACUCACUCUGGGGGCCUCACAGGCCACCACGGUGAGGGGCUGGGAAUGGGGGUGGGUCCCUGGUCCCCUGUACAGAUCAGCUGCCUCCUCAGGAAGGGUCCCUAGGGCCCUCAUCUUAUCCUUUCACUUAUUUGGUACGCAAUCCUUGCUGUUUGCAAGAGAGGGGCUCAAUUUAUCCCCAAUUCUUGGUCCUUGCCCCCAAAACUGCCCCUCCUAUGUUGCCUUUCUACCCAGCCCUCCAAGGUCAGAAACAGGGGAUUCCUCUCCUGCUGCCAGCUCUCCCUCACCGCCCACAUCUAGGCAUUACCAAGCUCUGUGAAUUCUGCCUCCUUAAAUAAGCCUCCAGUGUGCUUAUGUGGAACCUCGCUUUCUAGUUCAGUCUUCCUCUCUCCAAAGGCCCCCUGAUCUCCCUGUCUCAUGCCACCCCCUCCAAAGGUAUGAUAGUCCUGUUCAAAAUCAGAAUUUGGCAAUUCCCCACUGCCUACAGGAUCAAGUCAGAGCUUCCCUGCCUCCAUAGCCCCAUUCCCAGCUUUCCCCACAGUAUAUAUUAUGCUCCUUUGGAGCUGAAUGACUCAAUUUGCAUUUCCUAGUGAUGCCCUGUGCCCUAUUACCAUGCCUUUGCCCAGGCUGUUCCUUCUGCUUGCAGCAUCCUUCUCUCAGCCUCUCCCCUCUUUACCCGUUUCUAGUCAUUCCUUGCUUCUCAUCAGUGUUGCCUUUUCCUGAUCGCCCCAGGCAGAUUUUGUAUUUUCUUUCUCCAUGCCCCCACAUUGCACCUUGUAGAAACUGCCAUCUAACAUCUGCUGAAUGGACUUGACCAGGUAGCUGCCUUCUUCGUGGCUGACCUGGGUGCCAUAGUGAGGAAGCACUUUUGCUUUCUGAAGUGCCUGCCACGAGUCCGGCCCUUUUACGCUGUCAAGUGCAACAGCAGCCCAGGUGUGCUGAAGGUUCUGGCCCAGCUGGGGCUGGGCUUUAGCUGUGCCAACAAGGCAGAGAUGGAGUUGGUCCAGCAUAUUGGAGUCCCUGCCAGUAAGAUCAUCUGCGCCAACCCCUGUAAGCAAAUUGCACAGAUCAAAUAUGCUGCCAAGCAUGGGAUCCGGCUGCUGAGCUUUGACAAUGAGAUGGAGCUGGCAAAGGUGGUAAAGAGCCACCCCAGUGCCAAGAUGGUUCUGUGCAUUGCUACCGAUGACUCCCACUCCCUGAGCCGCCUGAGCCUAAAGUUUGGAGUGUCACUGAAAUCCUGCAGACACCUGCUUGAAAAUGCGAAGAAGAGCCACGUGGAGGUGGUGGGUGUGAGUUUUCACAUUGGCAGUGGCUGUCCUGACCCUCAGGCCUACGCUCAGUCCAUCGCAGAUGCCCGGCUCGUGUUUGAAAUGGGCACUGAGCUGGGUCACAAGAUGCACAUUCUGGACCUUGGUGGCGGCUUCCCUGGCACAGAAGGGACUAAAGUGAGAUUUGAAGAGAUUGCUUCCAUGAUCAACUCAGCCUUGGACCUGUACUUCCCAGAGGGCUGUGGCGUGGACAUCUUUGCUGAGCUGGGGCGCUACUACGUGACUUCGGCCUUCACUGUGGCAGUCAGCAUCACUGCCAAGAAGGAGGUUCUGCUGGACCAGCCUGGCAGGGAGGAGGAAAAUGGUUCCACCCGCAAGACCAUCGUGUACCACCUUGAUGAGGGCGUGUAUGGGAUCUUCAACUCAGUCCUGUUUGACAACAUCUGCCCUAUCCCCAUCCUGCAGAAGAAACCAUCCACGGAGCAGCCCCUGUACAGCAGCAGCCUGUGGGGCCCGGCGGUUGAUGGCUGUGACUGCGUGGCUGAGGGCCUGUGGCUGCCGCAACUACACGUAGGGGACUGGCUGGUCUUUGACAACAUGGGUGCCUACACUGUGGGCAUGGGUCCCCCCAAAGGGGGGACCCAGGCCUGCCACAUCACCUAUGCCAUGUCCCGGGUGGCCUGGUAAGAGGGCCCUGCUGGAAAAUGGGGGUAUGGGGAGGAACUGGGCAGAAACGAGGGAAACUUGAGAUUUGAGAUUCUGCUUCUGUGUAAUCCAAUUUGACAAGUAGCUGUUGGCUGCUGGUCCCACGUGAGGCCUGUGCUUGGCACCUGGCUGUGGCCAUAAGUGAGGCUGGGCUUUCCUAGAGGAGCUCACAGCCCUGAGGGAGGCACAGAGAAGCAGACAGGCCCUUGUGAUAAUACUGUGCCUGGUGAAAGUGCAGAGCCCUCCCUGAGGCCCGGGCCUCCCUGAGGAAGUGGGAGUCAACUACAGGAGGGGGUGGUAGGACUUCCCGGAAGAAAGGAACGGAGAGCAAGUGUGGUGCAUUCAAGGCUCUCAUGGAGAGUGGCUGUGACUGGAGAGGGAGGCAGGGCUAGAUCUGGGAAGAGCUUGAAGGCCGAGUGACACGCUUUGACAGCAGUGGGAGGCAUGGACCAGUCUGAAGCAGGGGCAUAACACAGUCUGAUUUGCACUUUGGAAAGACCACCCUAGUUCCUGUAUAGACUGAAGAUAAGGGCAGACGCAGAAAGAGCUGACCAGUGGGUGGCUGCUGUGUGACACAGGAGAGACUUAGUCUGCCUGCUUGCUGAGCCUCGGUCUUUCCAUCUGGAAAAUAGGCAUAACAGUAGCCCUGCCUGCCCCACCAGGCUAGUGCUGGGAUCCAGUGAGGCAAGAGGCAUGCAAGAUGGGGGAGUCACAUCCAGUGAACCCUGACAUCAGGCCUUACGUUAGGCGUCGUAUGACUAUUUCACCCACACAAAACUCUGUGGGGGUCAGCGUUGUCACAGACAGGUCAUUCUUCUGAGGUCACGCAGCUAGUCAGUGGUGAAGGGUCCCUCUUUGGGGGUAGGGAGAGGGCUACAGAAAGCAGGAGCAGUUUGCCCAGGCACAUUCAAUUCCUCUGCUGUGUCCGGUCUCAGGACUCACCAAAGCUGAGACCUGAAGGCUAAGGAGGAAUUAGGUGAGGGUUGAUGAUGCAGGCAGAGAGACAAGGAUGGAUCCAGGCUGGGGAGAGGACAUGUGUAAGAGCCCAAAAGGUGGCCAUAGUGAAUGGCCCAGGUGUGUGGGCGGGUGUGGCCAGGGGUGGGCAGAAGAGGUGGGUAGGGCCAGAUCUUGCAGGGCCUGAGAGCAGAGGGAAAUGGCUGGCAGCUCAAGGGCAGGGAUUUGCUUUUUGGAAAGAUGAAUCUGGGCCCUGGCUGAGAACUGUCUGGAGAGGGCACGAGCAGAUCAGGGAGACUGAAAUGGUGUUACCCAUGGGGAUGGAGACCACAGGGCACAUGAGGAUGUUCAGAAGCUGGGCUCAGCAGGGCUGUACUGGGUGUGGGAACAAGAUUGCCAACUAUUUCCAACACUGAUGGUGGAGCCAUUGAUCAACAUGGGUAUGUAGGAGGAGAAGCAGUUUGUGGGAUUGUUUGAGAGAAUGGGAUAUGAUUUUGUUUGAAGUCCCAAGCCUGGGGUAUGAUGAAUGUGGGCUUUGGAGUGAGAGUUGGGUUCAGUCCUAGUUCCACUACCUACUAGUGAUGUGGUCUUAGGUAGGUCACUUCUCUCUCUGGGGAACUGAUUGAUUACAUCAUUAACGCAAGGGGGUGGUAAUAACUCCCUCAUGGGGUUUUUGGGAAGAUACAAAUAGAUAAUAUAAGUGCCCGGCAUGAUGUCUGGCACACAGUAAAUGCUUGAUACAUGUGGAUUUCUUUCCCUUGUUGAGGGGUGGGGACCACACGGGAGUAGGAAGCAGUUGGGGAGGGGUCAGCAGCCUGUCCCUGCCCCUGCCCUCAGCUGAGCUCGGGCUCAGGUGAGAGCCCUCUGCCCAAUGGGGCUGCGUCUCCAGGUACAGGGCCCUGCCAGCCCCAUGCUGGCUACUUGCAGCACCCCUCUCUCACCCCUAGGGAAGCGCUGGGAAGGCAGCUGAUGGCUGCAGAACAGGAGGAUGACGUGGAGGGUGUGUGCAAGCCUCUGUCCUGCGGCUGGGAGAUCACAGACACCCUGUGCGUGGGCCCUGUCUUCACCCCGGCGAGCAUCAUGUGAGCGGGCCUCGUUCCCCCCGGAGAACCCCAGCGGGGCCUCAGAGAUGCGUCUGGGAGAGGUGGGGAAGAUGGCAGGCAAGGGUACCCUUGGCCAGGACUCUGGUACCCACCCUGCCACCCCCGCGCUCCACCUGCAGUGUUUCUGCCCUGUAAAUAGGACCAGUCUUACACUCGCUGUAGUUCAAGUAUGCGACAUAAAUCCUGUUCCUUCCAGCUGUGUCUGCCUCCUCUGCAGUGCAAGGGGCCUGGUCAGCCAGGUGUGGGGGUGUUCUUGAGGUCUCCUUUGGUCUCCUUCCCACCUUUGUAAAUAUAAUGCAAAUAAAUAAAUAUUUAGGUUUUUUAAAA